ACCAGGCGUCCUUGUGUGAGUGACAUCAUCUUUAAACCCUGCGUGGCAAUUCCGGACGCACUGCCGUGAUGCCCAGGGAAGACGGGGCGACCUGGAAGUCCAACUGCUUCCUUAAGAUAAUCCAACUUCUGGAUGAUUAUCUGAAAUGCUUCAUUGUGGGAGCAGACAAUGUGGGCUCCAAGCAGAUGCAGCAGAUCCGCAUGUCCCUCCGCGGGAAGGCCGUGGUGCUGAUGGGCAAGAACACCAUGAUGCACACGAAAGGCCAUCCGAAAACCACCCAGUCCUGGAGAAACGGUUGCCUCACAUCCGGGGGAACGUGGGCUUUGUAUUCACCAAGGAGGACCUCACUGAGUUCAGGACAUGCUUCUGGCCAGUAAGGUGCCAGCUGCUGCCCAUGCUGCUGCCAUAGCCCUGUGUGAAGUCACUGUGCUUCCCCAGAACACUGGUCUGGGGCCCAAGAAGACCUCCUUUUUCCAGGCUUUAGGCAUCACCACUAAAAUCUCCAGGGGCACAAUUGAAAUCCUGAGUGAUGUGCAGCUCAUUAAGACUGGAGACAAAGUGGGAGCCAGUGAAGCCACGUUGCUGAACACCUCCCCCUUCUCCUCUGGGCUGAUCAUCAGCGGGUGUUUGAUGGCAGCAUCUACAACCCUGAAGUGCUUGACAUCACCAAGGAAACUCUGCAUUCUCGCUUCCUGAACAGUGUCCACAAUGUUGCCCGUGUAUGCCUGCACACUGGUUACCCAACUGUUGCAUCUGCACUCCAUUCUAUCAUCAAGGACACAAGUGGGUCCUGGCUUUGUCUGUGGAGACUGAUUACACCUUCCCACUUGCUGAAAAAGUCAAGGCCUUCUUGGCUGAUCCAUCUGCAUUUGUGGCUGCUGCCCCUGUGGCCGCCACCACCACUGCUGCUCCUGCUGCUGCUGCAGCAGCCCCAGCCAAGGUUGGAGCAAAGGAGGAGUCAGAGGAGUCGGGCGAGGAUAUGGGAUUUGGUCUCUGA